rnacentral:misc_RNA from 1 species
CGUUACUUUCAAUCAAGUUUAAUCACGUUGCGCUGUAUGACCGUACGAGCGUAAAAUAAGCAAUUUGUUUCAUUUAUUGAACUAUUUAAUUAUUCGUUAAAAUGUUGGAAAUGGUUGAUGUACUUGACGUUGAAGUUUGUCAAAAGCAUGAUAGUACUUUGUCCCGAGAUGAGAUAGAACAGACGGUAAGGGAAGAACUAAAUUUGCUAGUAGAGGUGGACCUCAAUAUUCCGAUUGUUGGGGAAAAAUGCACAGAUAAUAUUUUAAAGUCCCACGUGAUCUCCAUUGUAUGCACGUGCAACCAUGCAGAGAAAAACCAAAUUACGGUGGCCAAUGCCGAGGUUCGAGUGUACGUCUAUAGGUUAGAACAGGAGGAUGGUGCGAUAGAGACUAUGCAAAAUGAUUCCGAAGAAGUACCAGUUUCAUCACAUUGGAUUUUACCAGCGCAAGAGUUUUAUGGCCUUUGGGAGAAUCUGUAUUAUGACUCGGACAUCCAGGAAAAUUUGCUGCACUUUGUGGAGACGAUGAUGGUGUACUCGGACCGCAGAGUCAAUCCUAAUAUAAUAAACUGUAAUCGGGUCGUACUGCUACAUGGACCACCUGGUACUGGGAAAACGAGCAUGUGUCGAGCACUUGCUCAGAAAAUUGCCAUUCGCUUGGGAGAUCGGUACUCUAGAGGAGAGCUUGUAGAGAUAAACAGUCACAGUCUGUUUUCAAAAUGGUUUUCAGAGAGUGGGAAGUUGGUUAUGAAACUGUUCGGGGAGAUUAGAGCUCUUCUCGAGGACCCAAGAGCAUUGGUAUGCGUUCUGAUUGACGAAGUCGAAUCCUUGGCUCACGCAAGGAAGUCUUCCCUCUCCGGUACCGAACCAAGUGACUCGAUUCGCGUCGUAAAUGCUCUUUUAACUCAGUUGGACCAGCUGAAGCGUUAUCCAAAUGUAUUAAUUCUGACAACUAGUAACGUGACGGAAGCGAUUGAUUUGGCUUUUGUGGAUCGUGCGGAUAUAAACCAGUUUAUCGGACACCCACAGGAGCAAGCCAUUUAUAAGAUUUACCAUUCGUGCUUAAGGGAGUUAAUGAGAACUGACUUCAUAGAGUACGAAAUGCUACACAGCAUGUCGUACUUGAAGAAGUAUGGUUACGAAGAGAAUCCGGAGACCAAGAAGAGUCUGCAGUUGCUGGAAUUAAGUCGACAAAGUGUCGGGCUGAGUGGACGUACCUUGAGAAAAAUUCCAUUCCUGGCCCAUGCCCUUUACCUACACGCUAAGAAAUCUUCCCUUCAUCGUUUCUUAAGGGCUAUGCAUUUUGCCAUCGAACGACAGAGAGAAAUUGGAGCGGAGUAAAAAGCUUGCGUACCCUGCUUGCCCUUCGCAUGUCAUUCCCAAAAUCAGUCACGUACCGAUGACCCUGAAGACGUCCCCUUACGUCCUCGGGAAAUGAUCUAAAUGUCUCGUUUGAUGAAACCAGACAACGGGGCGCCAGAAUGUCCGAUCUCUUGAC